rnacentral:rRNA from 1 species
UACGUAGGGGGCAAGCGUUGUCCGGAUUUAUUGGGCGUAAAGAGCGUGUAGGCGGCCAGGUAGGUCCGUUGUGAAAACUCGAGGCUCAACCUCGAGACGCCGAUGGAAACCAUCUGGCUAGAGUCCGGAAGAGGAGAGUGGAAUUCCCGGUGUAGCGGUGAAAUGCGUAGAUAUCUGCAGGAACACCCGUGGCGAAAGCGGCGCGCUGGACCACUACUGACGCUGAGGAACGAAAGCUAGGGGAGCAAACAGG